UACAGAGGUCCCAAGCGUUGUUCGGAUUCACUGGGCGUAAAGGGUGCGUAGGCGGUCGGGUAAGUCUGACGUGAAAUCUUCAAGCUCAACUUGGAAACUGCGUCCGAUACUAUUCGGCUAGAGGAAUGGAGGGGAGACUGGAAUACUUGGUGUAGCAGUGAAAUGCGUAGAUAUCAAGUGGAACACCAGUGGCGAAGGCGAGUCUCUGGACAUUUCCUGACGCUGAGGCACGAAAGCCAGGGGAGCGAACGGG
rnacentral:rRNA from 1 species